ACAUUUCUGAAGCCCUGCCACCUGCCAUCCCUCGUAGGGAUUCAAGUCCAAAUAGCCAGAGCCUCUGGCAGAGGAGAUGGGGGAAACUGAGGUAGCCCUAGGGUCGUCCUCUCAAGUCAAGCUGCCUGGAGACUGUAGCAGCUACGGUUGAGGCUGCUCAGGAAGCACAGACCGCCCCAGACAGCAGCUGAAGCUGAAGACUCCAGGGCCAGGCCAUCGGGUCAGGCGUUCAGGAACGCGAAAGCUGACGGCUCUGAGCCAGGAGGCUCUUUGGCUGCUGUCCUCUGGGACGAUGUUUGGGGGGCGCGGGGAGCAUCAGGACAGGACUCUCCCGCAGCAGCCCCAGCCCCCACCAGGCGGGGACAGGCCACCAGCUCCAUGCCAGCAAACAAGGAGUCGCGGCUCCACGCACAGCUGCUGGGGCCUCUCUUUGGGCUGUCCGUGCCCCCUGGGAUCCGUUCAGGUCUCCACCGCCUGCUUUCUGCCAGUCUGGCCUCGGCCUCGCUGGGGUCUCCGGGGGCUGGAAUGGGGGAGGCAUCUGGGGGUGGGGUGGGCACAGGGCUGGACGGCAUCCCAGAUGAGGGAGCAGGGCUCCGGGACGAGACCGGGGUUGAACUCAGAGGCUGCAGGAAGACCUGGCUCCCAGGGAGAGGCACAGCGUCGGUCAGCAGACAAAUGGACACCCUCCCCGUCAUAACCCGCCAGGCACUGCCGGAGGGAGUGAACACGUGGCCUGGCACAUCUGGGCAUUUCCAACUGUUGGACGCAGGGUUCUUCCAGCAUGCCCGUUUUAGAAACCCCACUAUGAGGUUCGCCUGCGGUGGUGCGAACCCCAGGCUCACUCGUCGCUCUGACUGAAAGCCAGGGAGAAAACAGGAAGAAAGAAGCUGGGAAUGCCCACAGGCAGAGGGAAGGUGCCAGGGCCUGGCGGCCGGGAGAGGCCUCCCCGUGUGAUUCCAGUGGCCGCCAGGCAGUUCAGAGUGUUCAAGUGCACAGAGAUGAAUGGAACCAUUUCUGCCCUCCGGAGCUUGGGAGUUGAGCAUGAGCUGUGUCAUGGGUGGCAAACUGCAUGUGCAGUCAGGGAGGGCUUCCUGGAAGAGGUCACCCGGCUCCCGGCUGGCCCCUGAAUGGCUGUCGCUGCCGGAAUGACUGCCCGAGUCCGAGACCCUGCUCAGGUCGCUGUUCUGGGAGGAAUUCUGAGAGCUGGGGCCGCUGUCCAGCUCAUCCCAGCCCCCUCCGGCCUGCCCAGGCUGAUGCCUCACAGCUGGAGGAAACAGGACAGCCGGUGAGAUCCCUGGGGCUUCAGGCCAGCCCCAUGCCCACCUCCCGGGGCCCUGGACCAGGAGGCCUCGGGGGCUGAGUCCUGAGCUGAGGAUGGGUGGCCACCUUGGCUCCAGCUUCAGCAAACACCAGCCCCAUGGGCAUGUGCUUCCGCCGCGGGUCCCACCCCUC